GACCCAGACUCCUACGGGAGGCAGCAGUGGGGGAUAUUGCACAAUGGGGGAAACCCUGAUGCAGCGACGCCGCGUGGGUGAAGGAGUAUUUCGGUAUGUAAAGCCCUAUCGGCAGGGAAGAAGCAAGACGGUACCUGACUAAGAAGCCCCGGCUAACUACGUGCCAGCAGCCGCGGUAAUACGUAGGGGGCGAGCGUUAUCCGGAUUUAUUGGGUUUAAAGGGUGCGCAGGCGGCACGGAAAGCCGGCGGUCAAAUCGCGGGGCUCAACCCCGCCCAGCCGUCGGAACUGCCGGGCUAGAGUGGGCGAGAAGUGCGCGGAAUGCGUGGUGUAGCGGUGAAAUGCAUAGAUAUCACGCAGAACUCCGAUUGCGAAGGCAGCGCACCGGCGCCCUACUGACGCUCAGGCACGAAAGCGUGGGUAUCGAACAGGAUUAGAUACCCCCGUA
rnacentral:rRNA from 1 species